UUCUGUUUUUAAUAUUAGCAAUCCUAACUCAAGUAGUUGAUCAUUGCAACUUGCCAAUCAAGAUCACAGGCUAAGAGAGUAUGAAAUUGUUCCUUGCUUAAAGGUAAGAAAAGAGUAGCAGAGUCAUAUCCCAGUCAUGCACAGCCAUCUCAUAACCAUUUCCCAGAGCCUCAACCAUCCCCUGCGUAAAGGGUGAAUGUACACCAUUGAAAAAGUGUCUUCUUUAUGCCCUACUGAAGGGAGUGAAGUUGGGGGAGGAACUCCUUCCUGUUGUUCUGCUUUCUGUGUUCCCUUUUCCUUUAAAUUUUCCGAAUUCCCUUCAGGUGAAGAAAAUGGGCAAUCUGACUCACCACGAUCUGGCAUAUAAAGAGGGUACAACACAGAACAUGCCAGAAUCCAGGUGAUCAAAACGGUAACAUUAGUAAAAUGGCCCUGCUCAAAUCCUCUUUUCAGGCAGCAAUCUGCCUGCUCCCAUAACUCUAAGUUUAAUGUUCCUUGGUCAGGGAAACAAGGGCAUUCCUGCUGAAUUAAAAACAUAAGCUUAUGCAAAGCUUCAGACUCUAUGGUGCACUGAAUAACCUUAAGUAAAUGUUGCACCGUUUUAAAAAAUACUUUCUGCUCUUUGGACAACUCCUGAUCCAUGGUAACCCGACCCCUGGUAUUAUAGACGUCGGUGCUGUCCUCCUGAAAAUGGGUAGGGACUGUCCCUUACCAGUAUUCCCCGAAGAUUGGUGAGUCAUCCUACUCCAUGCAUAACUUCAAGGCAAUCACGUCGGAGUCACCACUUGAUCAUGUCCGAGUCACCACUUGAUCACGUCCGAGUCACCACUUGCAGCUUGUUCUGCAGUGAAUGCCGAGAAAUAAAUAUUCAGACAAUUACAGCUGAACGGGGAAGGGAGCAGCUCCUCCAAUGGAGUG
rnacentral:lncRNA from 1 species